GGUCGGUGCCUGCCCGGGCAGUGCGGGGUCACCUGCUCCGCCGACCCCGCCAGCGCGGGCACAGAAUGAAUGGGGGAGCGGCCGCGCCGGUCCCUGUCACCUCUAAAAGGUCACCAGACGCCGGACGCCUGAAGAAGUCCCAACAAGUGUCUUUGACCCAAAAAAUGAGGCAAGAAACGCGUCUCUCCGUGGCCUCGCCACCCCAGCUGCGCUUGUGUAACGCUCCCUGCCUACACAGCUUGCACCUUGGAUUAAAAGCUAUUAUUGCUGUUCUGCUUUCCGAGUGUGACCUCUGCUAGUGACUGUCGCAGUGAUUUCAGCUAGGAAUUGGCAUUAAUGAAGCACUAAACUAUGUGAAAUUUGCUACUGGACUCAGUGAUCCUAAAGAUCUUUUCCAACCUAAACGAUUCCACAUCUCAUCUGUGCUGCUUAUGUAACUUAUUUUCAAGGUCAUGAUUUCUCUUCUAAUGCAUAGAAGCCUCAAAAGAUGGGAGUUUGAUGAUAAGUUAUAUACAGGCAUAUUAUAUAUGGAAGUAAGAUACUUCCAAGAUACUAUGUAGCAGAUCAUAUACUUCCUCUAAAUUUAAUUUAGAUUUUUGUGCUACCAGAGUACAACUACUUUAUUAAAACUGGAGACCAUGGACAUGUGA